CUCCAACAAAGACAAAUGUGCUCAGGGCCAUGAACUUUUGUCCUGCACCACCGAAGCCAGCAGCAACUAGAGCAUUUAAAGUAGCAUCCACACUUGCAUCAGGCAUGACAACUGCAUGAUAUUUUGCUCCAAUAUUGGACUGAAUACGUUUUCCUUUAGCUGAUGCCCUUGCAUAAAUAUAUGCACCAGCCUGGAUCUUUC
rnacentral:misc_RNA from 1 species